rnacentral:lncRNA from 1 species
AUGAAACGGAAUCAGCCCAUUCAAAGCCAGACUGUGUUUAAAUUUUUACGAGCGUCAUUUCAGGAAUUCAUGAUUCAACUUGAUCGUGAUUUUAUUUCAUCCGUAUUUUUGCUCCUAUCGCCUCUGAUAAAAGAAGAAAAACCAUCUAUUCGAAUUCGGCAUGAUAUAGCCGCCAUGCAUCAGCCUGUAGUGGUUAAGAAUGUCGAUGAGAAUUUCUCCACUGAUCGAACAAUCAUUGAGCAGAUCGCCAUUCCACCGCUAAAUUUCAUUGUCAGCUACUCUCAAACAAGCAGUGACCUCAAUACAAAUUCAGUCAAUCAAGCAUUGACCAAUUCUUCUUAUGCUGCGGAUAUUUUGUUCUACGUUUUGGAAGUUUUAGCCCCGCUCAUUAACGACAUCAAAUCUGUUCAUUUCAGGACUAUGUGCUUCAAGCAGUACGGAAUCAGCAAAAAUCUUCACACAGUUCUGAGAAAUGUAGCACAACAUUACUCUACUUACCUGAUGCAACAGCUCUAUGUGAAUGUUCUGGAGUGGGAUGUUCUAAGCAGUCCGUACUCCGGUAGUUUCAGGCAAUCAUCGGAGGAAGCAUCUUUAAAUUUUUAUGGAGGUAAAUUUGAAGGAGAAUAUAUAAAAUUAACAAAUGCUAAACCUUUUAAAAUGUGCUGCGAGGAGAAAGUAAUUAGUCGAUAA